GGGGGCUUGCCCCCCUAGUGGCGCACGGGUGAGUAAUGCGUAACUGACCUACCCCGAAGUCCGGGAUAACUGGGCGAAAGUUCAGCUAAUACCGGAUACCCAGAUGACUCGUGAGUCAUCUGGAAAGGUUUACUGCUUUGGGAUGGGGUUACGUUCCAUCAGCUUGUUGGUAGGGUAAAGGCCUACCAAGGCGACGACGGAUAGCCGGCCUGAGAGGGUGGCCGGCCACAGGGGCACUGAGACACGGGUCCCACUCCUACGGGAGGCAGCAGUUAGGAAUCUUCCACAAGGGGCGCAAGCCUGAUGGAGCGACGCCGCGUGAGGGAUGAAGGUUUUCGGAUCGUAAACCUCUGAAUCUGGGACGAAAGGCCCGCAAGGGAGAUGACGGUACCAGAGUAAUAGCACCGGCUAACUCCGUGCCAGCAGCCGCGGUAAUACGGGAGGGUGCAAGCGUUACCCGGAAUCACUGGGCGUAAAGGGGCGUGUAGGCCGGUCCAAUAAGUCUGGCUUUAAAGACUGAAGCUCACCCUCAGGGAUGGGGCUGGAAAACUGUUGGACUGGACCUCUGGAGAAAGAACCUCGAAUUU
rnacentral:rRNA from 1 species